AUUUAAUUAUUAUAUAUCAAAGAAAUUUUUUUAUUUUUUAUUUUUUUUUUCAUUAAGGAUUAAAUAUGUGAUUAAUUAUUUAAAAACAAUGUAUAAUUUUAAGUUGAUCUUUAUGAUUCAGAGUAGCUGUCAUAUGUAUCAUAGGCCUGCUUUUUAUUACUGAAGUAGUGCACAUUCUGCGUUAAAAAUAAUAUUUAGGUAUAUGUUUAAAAUUUGAUGAAAGCAAAAAGAAAAAGCUAGUGCAGUCCAAUGCAGCAAUAAAAAACAAAUCCUACUUGUAUACUUAAUUUUCUGAUACAAUACAAACGUUUUUUUUUUAUUAAAAUAGUUUUAUAUGUUUAAGUGUGAUUUAUAAUAAAAACAUUUUUAAAUUUUUUAUAUACAUACUUAGAUAUUAUGUAUAGUCUGGAUUAACCCUCCGUAGGCAGUCUUGGUCUUUUUUGUUUAAAACGAAAUUCUUAAUCUCAAAUUUCUUUGCUCAAAUUCAAAUCUUUAUUAAAUAAAAGUUUUAACAUUAAAGGAGUUAGUUAUUUGAUAAUGUAGGAAUGCGGAAAAGUAUUAUAACCGUGAAUUUUUCUAUUUUUCCUUAGCUUUUCUAGUUUGUGUCAUAUGACACAGAGAGACGGUCAAAGGACGUCCUUAGGAUCGACUUAGGAUUUGAAUGACCUACGGACGUCCUUAGGCUCGGCUUAGGACUUAGAUGUUCCAAGAACGUCGUUUGAAUACAGUGUACUGUGUGGACAACUUAAAAUUACGUCUAGUGGAUAUAAUGUAGGCUGUAUAUAGAAUUCCUUUAGUUUAUUUAACAUUGCUCGGGAAGUCCUGAAAUUUUCAUCCUAGUAUAAUAUCCUAAGUCCGUCCCAUUAUUGUCCCGGGACAUUCAGGACGAAUUUAAGAUCAUCCCGAGGACGUCUUGUGCUAUUAAGGUGUAGUUGAUAGGUCUUUUCGCAAAUGGCGAAAUAAUCGAAAAACAAAGACAGAUCUAUGCGUUGAACAAAGAGCGAUAGCCUGGUCUCCCUCAAAAAAUAAUCUGCAAUGCCGACGUCGAGGAAGUUCUUUGGUCACUAUAGCAUCCUCUUAACGAUGUGAUUUGCUCACGCGCGCGAGAUAUCGACGCUCGCGGUCAAUUCGGGCGUGUGUCGACACACAUCGAUUGUGUGUACCAGCAUCGCACUUCGUAUUCGCUGCUUGAUUGAUUGCGAGACGGGCGCGAUGUUCGAACGAUGCUUUCGCUGCCUCGUGACUUAGCCGAAUUCCGAACAAUCAUAAUAUUGAUUUUAGAAUUGCUCAUAAUUUUUUUAAGAGAAUUACGUUAUAUUAUAUAGUUAUAAUAUAAUUUUUUUUUAAUAAAAUAUGAAUUCUUAUAGCUGAAGAAGCAGAAAUACUUACGUCAGAUGCAGAAAUAUCUUCUUCUAGGAAAAGAAUUAGCGAAGGGUACCAACAGAUGUAUCUUCUAUAAAAAAAAAGAUCCCUAUGAUAUCUCGAUCGACUUCAGUUUCUCCGGAGCAAAUAUUUAAUUUGCCUACAAAAAGUCUAUGGCAAUACUUUGAAAAGUUACAUGAAUAUCAAGAAACAAAAGGAAUGCAUCUCGGGAACAAAUUGCAAGGAACUCAUAUUAAAUAUUUCCGACAGAAAAUGAAAGUAUGUUUAACCACGCAACUAUUUAGUAAAUCUGUUGCCGACUCUUUAAAAUUAUGUAAACAUGAAUUGCAUUUAAGCGAAUUUGAAGAUUGCGAUGCUGUAAUUACGUUUAUUAAUAUCUUUAAUGAUUUAUUUCAUAUUUUUAAUUCGCAUAGUAUUAAGAGUUAUUAAAAAAGCUUUAAACGUUGAAAAUGCACACAAUGUUUUCGAAAAACUAAUUAAAUUUGCUAAUUACAUAAGUGGAUUUAAAUUGUACAAUUCUAAAACUAAUACCUAUGAGAGUGUGCUCGCAUAUCGUCGGAAAACUAGUUUUAUUGGUUUUCUAAUUUGUAUACAUAAUUUGAAAGAUAUGUAUCAUAAUAUUUGUACAAAACAAAAAUUAUUAGUGUACAUACCUACAUAUAAAUUUAGUCAGGAUCAUUUGGAAACCUUUUUUGCUUGUAUUAGAGCACACGGUGGACAUAAUAACAAUCCAACAAUUAUUCAAUUUAAGUCAGCCUUUAAAAAAUUAUUACUUUAUACAGAAAUAAAAGAUAUACAAUCAGGUAAUUGUAUUUUUUUGGAAAAUAUUUUUAUUUUGCAUAUUUCAUCAAGAAAGUCUAUUGAUGUCAUCAAUGAUUCUACUCCAAUAUACCGAUUACAAGACAUCGAAAAUGAUUGUAAUGAUGUUAGCGAAAGUCAUUCAUAUAUUAGUGAUAUACGAAUAAUCACAGAAUUCUCUGAAAGAAUAAUUGCUUACAUUGCAGGAUUUGUUGUAAAAUAUUUGUGUAAUAAGAUUACACAAAUGUGAGAGUUGGUUAUCUUCUUUACAAUCUACUAAUAAUAAUAAUGGAAUUUUUAGUUUAAUUAACAUUAAAAAUAUAUGUAAUUUAAUUUUUUCAUUAAUUAAUGUCUGUAUGGUGUGCAAAAAGUGCGAAAUUAUAUUAAGAUUUGCAUUAAAAGGAAAUGACGGAUGUCUGCAGAGCAAGAAAUUUUCAAUAAAUUAUUUGACUUCUUAAGUAUUAACAUGUUUUCUCAAUGACGACAAUAUAUUUUCUGAAUUAAUUAAUCAUAGCACUGAACAAAAUCCUUUAUCAAAUCAUAGAGUCUAUUUGAUUAAAUGCAUAUGCGAAAAGUAUUUUAGCGUCAGAUUGUUUUACAUUGGUAAACAAUUUAAGAAAGUAACUUUAAGACAGCAUUACAAUAAGCUCACUCUGUUCUCAGGUUGGUAUUAUUACUAAUAGACGCUAAUAUAUUUUAUAUUUCUCUUAUUUUACAUGUAUUGUUAUGUGUAAAUAAAAGAUAUUUUGUUCUUA